UGGCGACGGGUGAGUAAAGCUUAGGAAUCUGCCUAUUAAUGGGGGACAACAAUUCGAAAGGAUUGCUAAUACCGCAUACGCCCUACGGGGGAAAGCAGGGGAAUCGCAAGAUCCUUGCGUUAAUAGAUGAGCCUAAGUCGGAUUAGCUAGUUGGUGGGGUAAAGGCCUACCAAGGCGACGAUCUGUAGCGGGUCUGAGAGGAUGAUCCGCCACACUGGGACUGAGACACGGCCCAGACUCCUACGGGAGGCAGCAGUGGGGAAUAUUGGACAAUGGGGGGAACCCUGAUCCAGCCAUGCCGCGUGUGUGAAGAAGGUCGUAAGACUGUAAAGCACUUUAAGCGAGGAGGAGGGUAACUAUGCUAAUACCAUGGUUUAUCGGACGCUACUCGCAGAAUAAGCACCGGCUAACUCUGUGCCAGCAGCCGCGGUAAUACAGAGGGUGCGAGCGUUAAUCGGAAUUACUGGGCGUAAAGCGCGCGUAGGUGGCAAAUUAAGUCGGAUGUGAAAUCCCCGAGCUCAACUUGGGAAUUGCAUCCGAUACUGGUUAGCUAGAGUAUGAGAGAGGAAGGUAGAAUUCCAGGUGUAGCGGUGAAAUGCGUAGAGAUCUGGAGGAAUACCGAUGGCGAAGGCAGCCUUCUGGCUUAAUACUGACGCUGAGGUGCGAAAGCAUGGGGAGCAAACAGGAUUAGAUACCCUGGUAGUCCAUGCCGUAAACGAUGUCUACUAGCCGUUGGGGUUAUUGAAACCUUAGUGGCGCAGCUAACGCGAUUAGUAGACCGCCUGGGGAGUACGGUCGCAAGACUAAAAC
rnacentral:rRNA from 1 species